rnacentral:rRNA from 1 species
UACGUAGGGGGCUAGCGUUGUCCGGAAUCAUUGGGCGUAAAGAGCGUGUAGGCGGCUUGGUAAGUCCGCUGUGAAAGUCCAGAGCUUAACCCUGGAAAGCCAGUGGAAACUGUCAAGCUAGAGUCCGGAAGAGGUGAGUGGAACUCCUGGUGUAGCGGUGAAAUGCGCAGAUAUCAGGAAGAACACCAAUGGCGAAGGCAGCUCACUGGGACGGUACUGACGCUGAGACGCGAAAGCGUGGGGAGCAAACAGG